rfam:Strongyloides ratti strain ED321 Heterogonic genome assembly, chromosome: 1
GUAGGAUAUGGUGAUAGUGUUCCUUCAACAGCUAUGGGAAAAAUUAUAGCAUCAGCUGCAAUAAUGUCAGGAGUUUUAGUCCUUGCGUUACCUAUUACUAUUAUUGUUGACAAU